rnacentral:rRNA from 2 species
UGCAAGUCGAACGAUGAACCACUUCGGUGGGGAUUAGUGGCGAACGGGUGAGUAACACGUGGGCAAUCUGCCCUGCACUCUGGGACAAGCCCUGGAAACGGGGUCUAAUACCGGAUACUGAGGUCCGCAGGCAUCUGUGGUUCUCGAAAGCUCCGGCGGUGCAGGAUGAGCCCGCGGCCUAUCAGCUUGUUGGUGAGGUAACGGCUCACCAAGGCGACGACGGGUAGCCGGCCUGAGAGGGCGACCGGCCACACUGGGACUGAGACACGGCCCAGACUCCUACGGGAGGCAGCAGUGGGGAAUAUUGCACAAUGGGCGAAAGCCUGAUGCAGCGACGCCGCGUGAGGGAUGACGGCCUUCGGGUUGUAAACCUCUUUCAGCAGGGAAGAAGCGAAAGUGACGGUACCUGCAGAAGAAGCGCCGGCUAACUACGUGCCAGCAGCCGCGGUAAUACGUAGGGCGCGAGCGUUGUCCGGAAUUAUUGGGCGUAAAGAGCUCGUAGGCGGCUUGUCGCGUCGGUUGUGAAAGCCCGGGGCUUAACCCCGGGUCUGCAGUCGAUACGGGCAGGCUAGAGUUCGGUAGGGGAGAUCGGAAUUCCUGGUGUAGCGGUGAAAUGCGCAGAUAUCAGGAGGAACACCGGUGGCGAAGGCGGAUCUCUGGGCCGAUACUGACGCUGAGGAGCGAAAGCGUGGGGAGCGAACAGGAUUAGAUACCCUGGUAGUCCACGCCGUAAACGGUGGGCACUAGGUGUGGGCGACAUUCCACGUCGUCCGUGCCGCAGCUAACGCAUUAAGUG